rnacentral:rRNA from 1 species
AGAGUUUGAUCCUGGCUCAGGACGAACGCUGGCGGCGUGCUUAACACAUGCAAGUCGAACGGAAAGGCCCUGCUUGCAGGGUACUCGAGUGGCGAACGGGUGAGUAACACGUGGGUGAUCUGCCCUGCACUUCGGGAUAAGCCUGGGAAACUGGGUCUAAUACCGGAUAGGAGCCAUUUUUAGUGUGAUGGUUGGAAAGUUUUUUCGGUGUAGGAUGAGCUCGCGGCCUAUCAGCUUGUUGGUGGGGUAAUGGCCUACCAAGGCGGCGACGGGUAGCCGGCCUGAGAGGGUGGACGGCCACAUUGGGACUGAGAUACGGCCCAGACUCCUACGGGAGGCAGCAGUGGGGAAUAUUGCACAAUGGGCGCAAGCCUGAUGCAGCGACGCCGCGUGGGGGAUGACGGCCUUCGGGUUGUAAACUCCUUUCGCUAGGGACGAAGCUUUUGUGACGGUACCUAGAUAAGAAGCACCGGCUAACUACGUGCCAGCAGCCGCGGUAAUACGUAGGGUGCGAGCGUUGUCCGGAAUUACUGGGCGUAAAGGGCUCGUAGGUGGUUUGUCGCGUCGUCUGUGAAAUUCCGGGGCUUAACUCCGGGCGUGCAGGCGAUACGGGCAUAACUUGAGUACUGUAGGGGUAACUGGAAUUCCUGGUGUAGCGGUGAAAUGCGCAGAUAUCAGGAGGAACACCGAUGGCGAAAGCAGGUUACUGGGCAGUUACUGACGCUGAGGAGCGAAAGCAUGGGUAGCGAACAGGAUUAGAUACCCUGGUAGUCCAUGCCGUAAACGGUGGGGCGCUAGGUGUGAGGGUCUUUUCACGACUUUCGUGCCGUAGCUAACGCAUUAAGCGCCCCGCCUGGGGAGUACGGCCGCAAGCUAAAACUCAAGAAUUGACGG